AUGCCUUACACAUGCAAGUCGAACGGCAGCACGGAGCUUGCUCUGGUGGCGAGUGGCGAACGGGUGAGUAAUAUAUCGGAACGUACCCAAGAGUGGGGGAUAACGUAGCGAAAGUUACGCUAAUACCGCAUACGAUCUAAGGAUGAAAGCAGGGGAUCUUCGGACCUUGUGCUCCUGGAGCGGCCGAUAUCUGAUUAGCUAGUUGGUGAGGUAAAGGCUCACCAAGGCAUCGAUCAGUAGCUGGUCUGAGAGGACGACCAGCCACACUGGAACUGAGACACGGUCCAGACUCCUACGGGAGGCAGCAGUGGGGAAUUUUGGACAAUGGGGGCAACCCUGAUCCAGCAAUGCCGCGUGAGUGAAGAAGGCCUUCGGGUUGUAAAGCUCUUUUGUCAGGGAAGAAACGGUUUUGGCUAAUAUCCAGAGCUAAUGACGGUACCUGAAGAAUAAGCACCGGCUAACUACGUGCCAGCAGCCGCGGUAAUACGUAGGGUGCAAGCGUUAAUCGGAAUUACUGGGCGUAAAGCGUGCGCAGGCGGUUUUGUAAGACUGUCGUGAAAUCCCCGGGCUCAACCUGGGAAUGGCGAUGGUGACUGCAAGGCUAGAGUUUGGCAGAGGGGGGUAGAAUUCCACGUGUAGCAGUGAAAUGCGUAGAUAUGUGGAGGAACACCGAUGGCGAAGGCAGCCCCCUGGGUCAAAACUGACGCUCAUGCACGAAAGCGUGGGGAGCAAACAGGAUUAGAUACCCUGGUAGUCCACGCCCUAAACGAUGUCUACUAGUUGUCGGGUCUUAAUUGACUUGGUAACGCAGCUAACGCGUGAAGUAGACCGCCUGGGGAGUACGGUCGCAAGAUUAAAACUCAAAGGAAUUGACGGGGACCCGCACAAGCGGUGGAUGAUGUGGAUUAAUUCGAUGCAACGCGAAAAACCUUACCUACCCUUGACAUGGCAGGAAUCCCGGAGAGAUUUGGGAGUGCUCGAAAGAGAACCUGCACACAGGUGCUGCAUGGCUGUCGUCAGCUCGUGUCGUGAGAUGUUGGGUUAAGUCCCGCAACGAGCGCAACCCUUGUCAUUAGUUGCCACGCAAGAGCACUCUAAUGAGACUGCCGGUGACAAACCGGAGGAAGGUGGGGAUGACGUCAAGUCCUCAUGGCCCUUAUGGGUAGGGCUUCACACGUCAUACAAUGGUACAUACAGAGGGCCGCCAACCCGCGAGGGGGAGCUAAUCCCAGAAAGUGUAUCGUAGUCCGGAUUGCAGUCUGCAACUCGACUGCAUGAAGUUGGAAUCGCUAGUAAUCGCGGAUCAGCAUGUCGCGGUGAAUACGUUCCCGGGUCUUGUACACACCGCCCGUCACACCAUGGGAGCGGGUUUUACCAGAAGUAGGUAGCUUAACCGUAAGGAGGGCGCUUACCACGGUAGGAUUCGUGACUGGGGUGAAGUCGUAACAAGGUANCCCAAGGGCGAAUUUCAGCACACUUGGCGGCCCGUUACUUANUGGGAUUCCGAACCNCGGGUACCAAGCCCUGGGCCGUAAUCAUUGGGUCAUAACCNGUACAGG
rnacentral:rRNA from 1 species